ensembl:lncRNA
GUGCAGUCAGUCUGCUACAGACUCACUCACGAAGUGGCCUGGAUAAAUGCCUGUUAAGUGGGUGAAGCACACAUCUGGACAUCUGAAGUGUUUCAGUGACAGAAGCCAACGUUAACGUGCGGUUACACUGUAACCUUGGUUCUCUGAGUGAGAGUCUCGAUGUGAUGGAGAACAGGCUUUUUGUUUGAUUAUUGAGUACUGUAUCUGUACCUUUGACCUGUCUUUUUUCCUAACAAGGACAAAGUUCAGUCACAGUUUUCGUAUUGAUCAAGAUGAGCGACGGAUUACAGGCAGGAUGUCCAGCAUCAAUCUCUGUCUGUGCCCGACCACGCGGGGUCGAUUCAUCUCUCAGUGUGAAGAAAGAUCAGGUCUGAACAGAGGAACAGAAAAACUCUCCGAUCAAAGCUGAGUCGUCACUGUAGUGUUUGUUUGUUUUAUGGAAAUGUCUAAUGACAGUUAUUGAUUGUUACAGCUGGAAGAACGUUCUCAUGCUGCUGCGGUUUUCUCGUAUAACUCAGACGAGGACUCUGGGAGAGCUUUGAUUAUCUCAGCAUUCUCAGCUUCAAGGAAGAGCUUUACCAGUUUUGCAGUGAUGUUCAGGAAGGAACAGUAAGCUGGAGAUUUUCAGAAACAGUGAGUACAUACAAACUCACUAAAGUGGUAGUUGGAUCAGUUCUGUCCACAGGAUGUGAGAAGGAUGAAAGCUUUCAGUCACUCUGUUUAGCAAUGAACUGGCACCGGUGUUCUACACAGGCUUUCCUUAUCUCUCAAUUUUGUCUUCUUAGCAUUUUGAAGUUUAUGAAGUGUAUUUAUAUGUUUGGACACUGGCAACAACAGUGUAACAUUUCAGUAAUGUUCAAACAAAUAGCUGUUGGAAGACUGAUAACCAAUUAGGUCAAUUAGUCACAAGCUUGUGUAGAAAAGAGCAGAAAGUCUUUCCGACAUGAGGAUGGAGGUGCGGCCCUGCAUCAGCAGCACUACAGGGGACUAUACUUGUCAGGGUCCUGGGACUGGGCGACCCAGGAUCCCUGAGCAGUUAUGUAUUAUAUUAUUAUUAUUAUUAUUAUAUGUAUUUUGGUGUUGCUGCUGCUCUCCUCCAUGCUUGUAGAUGUGAGUGUGUGAGUGUGUGUGUUUAUGUCUGCGGGGAUGCUUGGAGGAUGGAGCUCAGCCACCUGCAGGCCUGAGGGGUGUGGCCCUGUGGAAGGACUGGCCACACCCGAAGCCACACACCUGCCGCUGAUCAGGGCUCGUCGGGGGAGCUACUUAGGAGAGUCUUGGAGCUCCCACCGACGCGGGAUCAUUGCAUGAGACUCCACGAAGAGCGUGGAAGGCACGGAGAGCAGCGAGCACCGGGGGGUGCUGACACGGGAGCAGAGAGCACACGGACUAUUCACGGGAGACACGACACGGGAGUCUGGGAGAACACGGG